rnacentral:rRNA from 1 species
AACGAACGCUGGCGGCAUGCCUAACACAUGCAAGUCGAACGAGACCUCCGGGUCUAGUGGCGCACGGGUGCGUAACGCGUGGGAACCUGCCCUUAGGUUCCGAAUAACUCCCCUUAAGGGGUGCUAAUACAGGAUAAUGUCUUCGGACCAAAGAUUUAUCGCCUUUGGAUGGGCCCGAGUUGGAUUAGCCAGUUGGUAGGGUAAAAGCCUACCAAGGCGGCGAUCCAUAGCUGGUCUGAGAGGAUGAUCAGCCACACUGGGACAGGGACAAGGCGCAGACUCGUACGAGAGGUAGCAGUGGGGAAUAAUGGACAAUGGGCGAGAGCCUGAUGCAGCAGUGCCGGGAGAGUGAUGUGGGCGUUAUGAUUGUCAAGCGCUUUUACCCGGGAUGAUAUGACGGGAACCGGGAGAAUAGGACCGGGUAAAUUCGGG